ensembl:lncRNA
UUUGGACUUAAGGAGAAGGUACAUACCUGCGACACUGGUGUUAAACAAAAUCGUUGGGAGAUUGCAAGUCUGCAAGUUCAAAGACACAGCCAUCCAUGGCCAAGAGAAAAGAAAUUCAGGAAGCCCUGUCAAUCACUAGGCAAUCAGGAGCAUCCAUGAACUCAUGUGCGUGGAAGAGGGUGGAUAGCGCUUUCCUCCAAGGGUGUUACACUGCCAUGUGGUGCACAUAAAAAUUCAGUGUGGACCCUCUGGUGUGCGCACACUCCUCUGUGACCUGAGCGACUGAUGAUGUCAUUGGCAGUUGACCCCAGAGCGAGUGUACUCGUGGCUGUCCUUGCGCAUGCUAUGGGAGGGAGAGGGCC